AUUGAACGCUGGCGGCAUGCUUUACACAUGCAAGUCGAACGGCAGCGCGGGCUUCGGCCUGGCGGCGAGUGGCGAACGGGUGAGUAAUGCAUCGGAACGUGCCCAGUAGUGGGGGAUAGCCCGGCGAAAGCCGGAUUAAUACCGCAUACGACCUGAGGGUGAAAGCGGGGGACCGAAAGGCAUCGCGGUAUUGGAGCGGCCGUUGUCGGAUGAGCUAGUUGGUGGGGUAAAGGCUUACCAAGGCGACGAUCCGUAGCUGGUCUGAGAGGACGACGAGCCACACUGAGAGUGAGACGCGGCCCAGACCCCUACGGGGGGCAGCAGUGGGGAAUUUUGGACAGGGGGGGCAACCCUGAUACAGCCACGCCGCGAGCGGGAAGAAGGCCUUCGGGUUGUAAACCGCUUUUGUGCGGGAAGAAAUCCUCUGGGCUAAUACCCCGGGGGGAGGACGGUACCGGAAGGAUAAGCACCGGCUAACUACGG
rnacentral:rRNA from 1 species